GACGAACGCUGGCGGCGUGCCUAAUACAUGCAAGUUGAGCGAUGAAGAUUGGUGCUUGCACCAAUUUGAAGAGCAGCGAACGGGUGAGUAACGCGUGGGGAAUCUGCCUUUGAGCGGGGGACAACAUUUGGAAACGAAUGCUAAUACCGCAUAAUAACUUUAAACAUAAGUUUUAAGUUUGAAAGAUGCAAUUGCAUCACUCAAAGAUGAUCCCGCGUUGUAUUAGCUAGUUGGUGAGGUAAAGGCUCACCAAGGCGAUGACACAUAGCCGACCUGAGAGGGUGAUCGGCCACAUUGGGACUGAGACACGGCCCAAACUCCUACGGGAGGCAGCAGUAGGGAAUCUUCGGCAAUGGACGAAAGUCUGACCGAGCAACGCCGCGUGAGUGAAGAAGGUUUUCGGAUCGUAAAACUCUGUUGGUAGAGAAGAACGUUGGUGAGAGUGGAAAGCUCAUCAAGUGACGGUAACUACCCAGAAAGGGACGGCUAACUACGUG
rnacentral:rRNA from 1 species